rnacentral:rRNA from 1 species
GGGAACUGCGUUCUGAACUGGGUGACUAGAGUGUNUCAGAGGGAGGUAGAAUUCCACGUGUAGCAGUGAAAUGCGUAGAGAUGUGGAGGAAUACCGAUGGCGAAGGCAGCCUCCUGGGAUAACACUGACGUUCAUGCUCGAAAGCGUGGGUAGCAAACAGGAUUAGAUACCCUGGUAGUNCACGCCCUAAACGAUGUCAAUUAGCUGUUGGGCAACUUGAUUGUUCAGUAGCGUAGUUAACGCGUGAAAUUGACCGCCUGGGGAGUACGGUCGCAAGAUUAAAACUCAAAGGAAUUGACGGGGACCCGCACAAGCGGUGGAUGAUGUGGAUUAAUUCGAUGCAACGCGAAGAACCUUACCUGGUCUUGACAUGUACGGAAUCCUCCAGAGACGGAGGAGUGCCUUCGGGAACCGUAACACAGGUGCUGCAUGGCUGUCGUCAGCUCGUGUCGUGAGAUGUUGGGUUAAGUCCCGCAACGAGCGCAACCCUUGUCAUUAGUUGCCAUCAUUCAGUUGGGCACUCUAAUGAGACUGCCGGUGACAAGCCGGAGGAAGGUGGGGAUGACGUCAAGUCCUCAUGGCCCUUAUGACCAGGGCUUCACACGUCAUACAAUGGUCGGUACAGAGGGUAGCCAAGCCGCGAGGUGGAGCCAAUCUCACAAAACCGAUCGUAGUCCGGAUUGCACUCUGCAACUCGAGUGCAUGAAGUCGGAAUCGCUAGUAAUCGCAGGUCAGCAUACUGCGGUGAAUACGUUCCCGGGUCUUGUACACAC